CAGUAGCCACGGUAAAACGAAGGGUGCAAGCGUUACUCGGAAUUACCGGGCGUAAAGCGUGCGUAGGUGGUGGUUUAAGUCCGUUGUGAAAGCCCUGGGCUCAACCUGGGAAUUGCAGUGGAUACUGGGUCACUAGAGUGUGGUAGAGGAUAGUGGAAUUUCCGGUGUAGCAGUGAAAUGCGUAGAGAUCGGAAGGAACAUCUGUGGCGAAGGCGACUAUCUGGGCCAACACUGACACUGAGGCACGAAAGCGUGGGGAGCAAACAGGAUUAGAUACCCCUGUAGUCCCUGUCUCUUAUAC
rnacentral:rRNA from 1 species